UGCUUCCGCGGCGAGAGCG
rnacentral:siRNA from 1 species